rnacentral:rRNA from 1 species
UACGGGGGGGGUAAGCGUUGUUCGGAAUUACUGGGCGUAAAGGGCUCGUAGGCGGCCCACUAAGUCAGACGUGAAAUCCCUCAGCUUAACUGGGGAACUGCGUCUGAUACUGGAUGGCUUGGAUUCGGGAGAGGAAUGCGGAAUUCCAGGUGUAGCGGUGAAAUGCGUAGAUAUCUGGAGGAACACCGGUGGCGAAGGCGACACCCUGGACCGGUAUUGACGCUGAGGCGCGAAAGCCAGGGGAGCAAACGGG